GACGAACGCUGGCGGCGUGCUUAACACAUGCAAGUCAAACGGAAAGGCCCUGCUUUUGUGGGGUGCUCGAGUGGCGAACGGGUGAGUAACACGUGAGUAACCUGCCCUUGACUUUGGGAUAACUUCAGGAAACUGGGGCUAAUACCGGAUAGGAGCUCCUGCUGCAUGGUGGGGGUUGGAAAGUUUCGGCGGUUGGGGAUGGACUCGCGGCUUAUCAACUUGUUGGUGGGGUAGUGGCUUACCAAGGCUUUGACGGGUAGCCGGCCUGAGAGGGUGACCGGCCACAUGAGGACUGAGAUACGGACCAGACUCCUACGGGAGGCAGCAGUGGGGAAUAUUGCACAAUGGGCGGAAGCCUGAUGCAGCAACGCCGCGUGCGGGAUGACGGCCUUCGGGUUGUAAACCGCUUUCGCCUGUGACGAAGCGUGAGUGACGGUAAUGGGUAAAGAAGCACCGGCUAACUACGUG
rnacentral:rRNA from 1 species